rnacentral:rRNA from 1 species
UACGUAGGGCGCAAGCGUUGUCCGGAAUUAUUGGGCGUAAAGAGCUCGUAGGUGGCGUGUCGCGUCUGCCGUGAAAGCCCAUGGCUUAACUGUGGGUCUGCGGUGGAUACGGGCAGGCUGGAGGCUGGUAGGGGCAAGCGGAAUUCCUGGUGUAGCGGUGAAAUGCGCAGAUAUCAGGAGGAACACCAAUGGCGAAAGCAGCUCUCUGGGACGGUACUGACGCUGAGACGCGAAAGCGUGGGGAGCGAACAGG